ensembl:lncRNA
CUCACAUACAUACACACACACACACACACACACACACACACACACACACACACACACAAUCCCAUGUCUACAGACCGGAUGAUGAUGAAUGUAUUUUUAUGUAACAUCUGUCAACAGGCAGCUCUCUCUCUCCCCCUCUCACCAUCCACAGAGAGACCAGACCACUGUAACCCAGACCAGGCCAAACCAGACCCCUCUAAUCCAGACCACUGUAACCCAGACCAGGCCAAACCAGACCCCUCUAAUCCAGACCAGGCCGAACCAGACCCCUCUAAACCAGACCAGACCAGGCCACUCUAAUCCAGACCAGGCCACUCUAAUCCAGACCAGGCCACUCUAAUCCAGACCAGGCCAAACCAGGCCCGAACCAGACCCCUCUAAUCCAGGCCACUCUAAUCCAGACCAAACCAGACCCCUCUAAUCCAGGCCACUCUAAUCCAGACCAGAUCACUCUAAUCCAGACCCCUCUAAUCCAGACCAAACCAGACCGCUCUAAUCCAGACCCCACCAGACCACAAUAACCCAGAUCAGACCUCAAGAACCCAGAUGAAAUCCCUCUAAGUAUUUUGAAUCAGCUGGAUGGUUCCUUGGUUCUCUGGACCGUGAAUCUUGGGCUGUUACACACACAAAGAGACACACACACAAACUCACACACACACGGACCGUGAAUCUUGGGCUGUUACACACACACACAGAGACACACACACACAUGGACCGUGAAUCUUGGGCUAUUUGGGAUCAUUUGGACUUUGUUUCUGUUUUAAAGUCUGCUUUGUUCUUUAGUGGCUGUGCCCUACUGUGUGUGAGUAUGUGUCUGUGUAGGAGUAUGUAUGUGUGUGUGUGUGUGUGUGUGUGAAUGUGUGUGUGUGUGUGUGUGUGUGCGCGUUAUAAUGCCCCCCUUGAGGCAGAAGUUCUGAAAACUGUAGCACUCUCCUGCGUCUCCAUGGAAACAAACAGGAAAUGGUUGUAUGGACACACACAUACACCCUAAACACACCUCCACUUGAGGUGUGUUUAGGGUGUAUGUGUGUGUGUGUGUGUGUGUGUGUGCCUCUGUGUAUGUGUGUAUGGUCAUGACCAGUGUAAAUAGUCUGUUAAUAAAGGGCUGUGCGUAGCCGAAGCAGGUGUGUGUGUGUGUGUGUGUGUGUGUGUGUGUGUGUGUGUAUGUGUGUGUGUGCGUGCGUGCCUGUGUGCGUGCGUGCGUGCGUGCGUGUGUGUGUGGUUUGUGUGUAUGUGUGUGUGUGUGUGUGUGUGUGUGUGUGUGUCUGUGUGUGUGUGUCUGUGUGCGCGUGCGCGUGUCUGUGUGUGCGUGUGCGUGUGCGUGUGCGUGUGCGUGUGCGUGCGCGUGCGCGUGCGCGUGUGUGUGUGUGUGUGUGUGUGCGCGCGCGCGCUCCAGGGACUGCUGGUUACCUAAGGGCUUUUUGAAGCCAGUGGAGAAAUAUAAACAUGAGCACAAUAAUAAAGCUGUUUGAUUUCCUAAUGAUCUUCAGUGUGUGUGUGUCUCUAAUCAUUGCGUGUGUGUGUGUGUGUGUGUGUGUGUGUGUAUGUGUGUGUGUGUGUGUGUGUGUGUGUGUUAAGGCCUAGGGUUGCCGAAAAACAAUAAGGGAGGCAGAGGCAAGCGAAUUGCGGUCAAACAACGGUAUUUAUUAAUGAACUUGAAUGAACUAGUUCUCCAAAAGGACCGUGGAACAGUCAAUCGGGUAGUUCAGAGAGCCUGUCGACAGGUCACGGAAGCAGCUCCUAUAAAGGCCACGGGUGCAUCUGCGUGUGUGUGUGUGUGUGUGUGUGUGUGUGCACCUGCGCACCGGUGUAGCUCCUCAGCCGAUCAAGAGCGGCCCCGCCCACAAGCACACCUGAAU